rnacentral:rRNA from 1 species
GGAGGGUGCAAGCGUUAAUCAGAAUUACUGGGCGUAAAGAGCGCGUAGGUGGUUUUUUAAGUCAGGUGUGAAAUCCCUAGGCUCAACCUAGGAACUGCAUUUGAAACUGGAAAACUAGAGUUUCGUAGAGGGAGGUAGAAUUCUAGGUGUAGCGGUGAAAUGCGUAGAUAUCUGGAGGAAUACCCGUGGCGAAAGCGGCCUCCUAAACGAAAACUGACACUGAGGCGCGAAAGCGUGGGAGCAAACAGGAUUAGAUACCCCUGGUAGUCCAUGCCGUAAACGAUGUCGACUUGGAGGUUGUUUCCAAGAGAAGUGACUUCCGAAGCUAACGCAUUAAGUCGACCGCCUGGGGAGUACGGCCGCAAGGCUA